rnacentral:rRNA from 1 species
CCUACGGGAUGCUGCAGUGGGGAAUAUUGGACAAUGGGCGAAAGCCUGAUCCAGCCAUGCCGCGUGUGUGAAGAAGGCCUUCGGGUUGUAAAGCACUUUCAGUGGGGAAGAAAGCCUUGGGGCUAAUACCCUCGAGGAAGGACAUCACCCACAGAAGAAGCACCGGCUAACUCCGUGCCAGCAGCCGCGGUAAUACGGAGGGUGCGAGCGUGAAUCGGAAUUACUGGGCGUAAAGCGCGCGUAGGCGGUCUGAUAAGCCGGUUGUGAAAGCCCCGGGCUCAACCUGGGAACGGCAUCCGGAACUGUCAGGCUAGAGUGCAGGAGAGGAAGGUAGAAUUCCCGGUGUAGCGGUGAAAUGCGUAGAGAUCGGGAGGAAUACCAGUGGCGAAGGCGGCCUUCUGGACUGACACUGACGCUGAGGUGCGAAAGCGUGGGUAGCAAACAGGAUUAGAUACCCGUGUAGUC